rnacentral:rRNA from 1 species
UACGUAGGGCGCAAGCGUUGUCCGGAAUUAUUGGGCGUAAAGAGCUCGUAGGCGGCUUGUCACGUCGGGUGUGAAAGCCCGGGGCUUAACCCCGGGUCUGCAUUCGAUACGGGCUAGCUAGAGUGUGGUAGGGGAGAUCGGAAUUCCUGGUGUAGCGGUGAAAUGCGCAGAUAUCAGGGGGAACACCGGUGGCGAAGGCGGGUCUCUGGGCAGUAACUGACGCUGAGGAGCGAAAGCGUGGGGAGCGAACAGG